AUCAUUAUUUACCAAAUAACUCUUCUUCAAGGUCAGAUUCGCAGCUGUCUCUCAAAUAGAAAACAUUCAUAAUGAUAGAGUCAUGAGUCUCCUGUUAUCUGGCUGUCUUUCCUUACCUAACUGUUCUCAUCUGCCACGAAGCUCCAAUUCAUAUUCUAGCCAGGCAAACCUGCCCACUGCUCUCUGUCUUUGCUUCAUCUCCUAUAACCUUGUGCUUUGCUGUGGUAAAGAUAGCUAAUGUCCUUUCCAUAGUGUAGGGUUGUUGCUGAGAAGCUCUGCCCAGCCAGGGCCCUCAUUUUCCAGUCCUACCCUCCCUUGCAUCCAGGUGGGACUAUGUGACUAGUUCUUGCCGGUGGAAUAUGAGCUGAGAUGAUGCGUACCAUGUCUUGGCCAAGUGGUUAAGAAGUGGUGGCACAUAGCCUGCGCUUUCUCUUUUCCCAUCUGCCCACUGGAUGUUGACGCACACAGGAUGAUCAUGGAAGCCACAUGUGGAAGUUGAUGGAGACUUCCAGCCUACGGCUCUGCGUGAAGCUAUGAAGCAGUCUUCCUUCAUCCACACAGCCGACCUUCCACUCCUGCCACCAAGGAGGAAUAUCUGUUUUGGAUUUUAUAGAUAAGUCUGGUUGUGUCACUCAGACUGGAGUACAUUGGUGAAAUCAUAACUUACUGCACCGUCAAACUCCUGGACUCAAGUGAUCUUCCUACCGAAACCUUUGGAGUACCUAGGACUACAGGUGCAUGCUACCAUGCUCAGCUAAGUUUUAUAUUUGUUUUUGCAAAGACAGGAUCUCACUACGUUGCGCAGGUUUGUCUCAAACUCCUGGCUUCAAGCAAUCCUCCUGCCUUGGCUUCCCAACAUGCUAGGUUUAGAGCUGUAAGAGAUUUUUAUUCUUAAUGACCAGAUUGUGUUCUUAUCUGAAAUACCUUCUAUUAAUAUUGAAAUAGCUGGGAAACUGAAUUAGUGAUUACAGAGUCACUUUGUGACUACUAUGAUGAAUGAAAAAGACUAUGGAAAAAUUGUAAGGAUAUUUAUUAGGAGGUGAGGCUCUGUGAGUUACUCCUAUCCUAACUGAACACACACAUCUUAAUAAUCUAUCUUCAUUCAUCCAAAUUCCUCAUAGGCUGUAGUUUUACAAAUAUUACCAUUUUAUGAAUCUUGGGUUUCUCUUUUCUAUGCUUCACAUUGGCCACCCAAUUUGGUUCAGACAGGGUAAGUAAAAUUGGCUAGAUUUUCCCUUACAUUGUAAUCCUGCCUCCUAGAAAUCACACCAUUCUUUUGAUUGGAGUUUUGAUUGUUGUCAAAGCUCUUCAGGUAAAGAUUUACAAUCUCUAGAUUUACCUCCAUGAUGACUAAUCUCAUUCAUUUUACAUAAAUGAGAAUACUUUUUCCUUUCUAGAGGACAAACUUACUUAUUUUCUUUCUGAAAUUUUAGUAGAAACUGAACUUUCAUUUACUACUCCCAUGUAUUUAUUACCUAGAUUAUUGUGAGAAUGUAAUCAAGUUGUGAGAUGAAUUUAAGUAAUUUCUCCCUCAUUGAACAUGGAACUAUAGCUCUAGAAGACACCUCAGGAGACCAUGUUGCCAAAGACUCUUCCUGUGGGUACAAAUAUCCCAGAUGAACCAAGAUGGAAAUUAUGCUUGAUGUAUAACAUAAGGCACUUUCCACCAACUCAUCUUCUCAAGGGAGAACAUCUCUUCAAAUGGAGUGCAAGAUAGAUUCACGAGGCUUCUUGCUCCAGGGAGAGAGAGAGCUGGUAGUACCUUAGAAACCACUUUCCGGCCGGGCGCGGUGGCUCACGCCUGCAAUCCCAGAACUCUGGGAGGCCGAGGAGGGCGGAUCCCAAGGUCAGGAGAUCGAGACCAUCCUGGCUAACACUGUGAAACCUCGUCUCUACUAAAAAUACAAAAAAAUUAACCGGGCGUGGUGGCGGGCGCCUGUAGUCCCAGCUACUCGGGAGGCUGAGGCAGGAGAAUGGCGUGAACCUGGGAAGGUGGAGCGUGCAGUGAGCUGAGAUCGCGCCGCUGCACUCCAGCCUGGGCGACAGAGCGAGACUCCGUGUUAAAAAAAAAAAGAAACCUCUUUCCUCCUUCUCAGUAGAUUGUGCCACUAUCUAACCAGGGGCUUAGACCAGAAUCCUUGGAGUCAACCUUGGCCCCUUUUCUCCUCAUACCCCACAUUCAUUUAAUCAACACAUUCUAUUGGCUCUACCUUUAAAAUAUUUAUUCUAUGUGACUUCUAACCAUCUCCGCUUAUAUCAUCUGAGGCCAAGCCACAGCCAUCUCUUGCCUGGACUAAUGCAACAACCUCUACCAUUUUCUUGCUUCAUCUCUUCCUUCUCUGCAGUGAAUUUCCCACUCAGCAGUCAGAUGGAUAUUCUAAAAGCAAUAGAGUCUGUCAGUACUCUGUUCAAGACUUCCAAAUGGAUCGUAUUAUCCUUUGAACAAAAUCUUAUGUUUUAUAAAAAUGAUUCUCAAACAUUUUAAUCUCAGAACCCCUUUCACUCUGAAAAAUUAUUGAGGGAGGGCUCCAAAGAGCUUUUGUUUAUGUGGGCUAUGUCUGUAAAUAUGUAAUUUAUUUAAAAUUAUAACUAAGAAUAUGUAAACAUUUAUUUGCUAAAUAUUUUUAAAACAACAAUAAAAACCUGUUAUAUGUUAAUGUAAAUGACAUAUUUUAUAUAUAUUGGACAAUAAAGUGAGACCCUGUCUCAAAUAUAUAUAUAUUUGUGCACCCAUAUAUAUAUGGGUGCUCUGUUGCCUAAUCUAGAGUGCAGUGGCAUGAUCAUGGCUCACUGCAACCUCUGCCUCCUGGGCUCAGGUGAUCCUCCCACCUCAGCCUCCUGAGUAGCUGGGACUACAGGUGUGCACCACCACACCCUGUUAAUUAAAAAAUUUUUUUUUGUGGAGAUGGGGUUUUGCCAUGUUGACCAGGCUGCUCUCAAACUCCUGGGCUCAAGCGAUCUGCCUGUCUUGGCCUCCCAAAGUGCCAUGAUUACAGGUGUGAGCCACUGCACCUGGCCUGAAAAAAAAUAUAUUUUCAAAAACAAAAAUAAUACAGUGAGGAAAAUGACAUUGUUUUACAUUUUUGCAAAUCUCUUGAAUAUUUGGUUUAAUAAAAGAUAGCUGGAUUUUCAU